rfam:Strongylocentrotus purpuratus Contig83865_fixed, whole genome shotgun sequence.
CAUGAUUACAGGUAUUCUCGAGUGAAUAAUACAGAAAAGCCUGAUGUUAUUGCUUGAGAAUACACGUAGUAUAC